rnacentral:tRNA from 1 species
AGGAUUGUAGUUAACCAUAACAUUCGACUUGCAUUCGAAAGGUGCUGAUUCGUCGGCCUAUCUU